rnacentral:misc_RNA from 1 species
AGUCGUAACAAGGUAUCCGUAGGUGAACCUGCGGAUGGAUCAUUACCAAAGUGUUCCAUCCUAAACCCUGUGAACUGUUUAACUACACGGUCGGUGCUCAUCCUGGCGGAACUCUAACCGUCACCAAAGGAACCGAGCAUGAACACCCCGCUCGUCGGGAUCCGCUGCUCGGGUGUGUAUCUCUUCGGGGAUAUCCACUCGGGUCGAGUCUGGUGUCUUUGGGCAUCAUCCUUGAACACUUACAAGUCCUCACGGGCACGUUUGUGGCGGCAUGUUCAGCGCUACGGGAGUGCCGGCUGUACCCUACUAUGUAUAAUCAAGAAGAACUGAAGUACUUUGAACCUAAAGAUACAACUUUUAGCAAUGGAUCUCUAGGCUCUU